CGCGGGACUUGACUACGUUUAUUCACAAAUAUUUCAAUACCUACCGAAAAGCUCCUACUAAUGUCAAUGGUAGCUCCAAGCCCGGUUACAACUACAACAAUGCUGGUGAUUUAUUUGCUGCUAAUCGGUGAAUGCUUUGCCUGCAGAGCCAUUCAUAAAUCAGACCUGGAAUCGUGCUUCACGAAUGGCGGAAAGUGUCGUGAAGUUAAUGCCUGCCCAAAAAAUAGGCAAUCGUUGUUUAAAACGAUUUGCAUACAUAAACAUAAAGUUUGCUGUAUGAAAAAUGCACAACAAUGAUGGAAGCUAUAAGCAAAACUGGAAAAGCUGGAGUAUAAUUGGAGCAAUCAAUAUGGGGCGGUGUUUAUAUAGUUAUGCAAUCAGGAGUUACGUUUACGUAUAUGACAGUUACUGAUAGAGCCCGCCUUAUUACUAAAUCAAUGUUGAAUGUAUUGUGCUACUGAGAUGCAAUAAAGUGUGGACAAGUUCGAUUAAGAAA